GUGUGGAUGUUUUGUGUGUGUGUGUGUGUGUGUGUGUGUGUGUGUGUGUGUGUGUGUGUGUGUGUGUGUGUGUUAGGGGGAUGGUUUCUCCCCCUUCAUGAGAUUCCUCUCGUGUCCACCUUGGUCCUCACAGAAGCACCGGUUGUGCCUUCUUUCCCUCCCCCAGCAACCACCUUUCUUUCCUUUAGUCUAGCAGGAUAUCUUGUAGGUUUGUUUUCUCAAGCUUGCUUCAGCGUGCGCUUCAGCAUCUGAGUGUUCGAAGACAGGGCCCACACAAGCAUAAGGUGGCAGAACACUUGUUGAUACUUCCAAAAGAUCGGAAGAGACAGAGGUUGUGGAGGACUUUCCAGACUGACAGCCACUGCCCAUAGAGCCCACAGCAGCUGUGGCUGCUGGAACAAGAGCUGCAUAAGAUUGAGCCAACCAGAAUUCCAGGGGGAAUAGGAGAGGGGUCCACAGAGUUCCACCCACAACUGAGGAGCCGUGGAAGUUGGUGGCUAUGGGGAGAAGACUCCCCUAUUCCCUCUGGUCUCAGAGGAGAGGGCAAGCCAGGACUGGGAGCCUGACAGAGGAUUUGUUCGAAUGUAAAGGAAGAACAUGCUCCAGUGGAUGACAACUUCACUACUGACAGGUGUGAGAAGUUCACUACUGAUGGGUGUGACAACUUCACUACUGAUGGGUGUGACAACUUCACUACUGGUGGGUGUGACAACUUCACUACUGAUGGCUGUGACAAUUUUAAGCAUCUCCUGUAAGGUCUCAUCUCUAGAACUCUGGGUCUGCUUGUGCUGGACAAACUGUCAGGAAUCAGAAAGAACAAGAACUGACCCUCUCCCGUCCUCUAACAACUCAGCGUCACUCUGCCUCUAUUUCUCCUUCUGUAAAUGGGAGUAAUGUGUUAUGCUUUGAAGGCUUUGUCAAGGCUUCUCUGAAACUGCUGACACCCAGUGGAUAUGAACGAGUCUGAGUUUCUGGAUGUCCAAGACUGACCCUUUAAACAUUAAAAUCUUUUUAAAAUGUUGCA